ensembl:lncRNA
UGACUCUAGUGGCUCAACUGACCACAAAAGUUUGUGAAUAGUCUAUAUGGUGUCCUUAAAACAUCUGCACAGACCUUUUAUUUCCAGUGCUUUGGACAGAGAUAAACACAGUCUUUCAUCCAAAGCCUACAUUCCGCAAAACAGAUGAAAAGUUGCAGUAUAAGCGCGGCCUCCCUGGCUGAGUCUGCCUUGCCUGUAUGCCUAUGUGAGUGGUCAGUUAAAUGCCUGGUCUCUGUUGUAUAAGCAGUAGGAAGUCUCUGCAUUUAAAAAUAGGGUGAGUUGUGCUAAAGUAAAACUCAUGUUCUGGAACUCUUAAUGGGCAUGUAAUUACCAUUUAGGAUUCCAAGUUAAAUGAUUUGCUAAUGGCCACUAAAUGUGACAUACCCCUGAGUAAAAUAAUUGAUUCCUAACUUGGGAGAGUUUGAGUCAAGUGUCCUCAGCCAAGUACUCAAGUAUGUUUUCUUUCUCUCCCUAAACCUUGCUUCUGCGGUGAAGAACAGGAAGAGCAGUGUCGUGAUGACUACAGGAGACCAGGGCAUAGCACUGCAUAAACCCUUCAGAGGCUUCAGCGCCAUUGCAGUGACCCAUUUGUUGAUAUCACUUGCCUACUGUCUCUCCCUGCUAAAAUCCCUCCAUUAGACUGCGUGAGACAUCUGUGUACAUGCAGAAAGUGGUGCCCAGCAUGGAGUGGGGAGUGGCAGGUUUGCCUUUUUCUCUACUGCAGUCCCAGAGUCCAGCCCGGAGGCUGCUUGUAACACGCACUGACUGGAUGCGUGAAGGACUUUGUAUCGGAAGACUGAGAUCUCCUCCCAGACGUGUGAGGGCCAGAUGUCUGCACAGAGUUCAGAACCUCUCUCAGCACCUGGGUUUUGGAGCAGAACAAGAUGAAACAAUGUGCCAAACCAAAAUUGGAGCCAGGAUAGAAAAUGGCUUUGAUGUGAUGGAUCCAGUGUAAUUGUAUGUUUGCAUGGGCCUGGCUGUACUCCAGGUGCACACAUCCAUAACCCAGUCCGUCAACCAGAUGUUACCAGUUUUUUUUUUUAAUAAAAAAAAUACAGAAUAUGAUCUAUGCCUAUAG